AUUGAACGCUGGCGGCAGGCCUAACACAUGCAAGUCGAGCGGAUGACGGGAGCUUGCUCCUUGAUUCAGCGGCGGACGGGUGAGUAAUGCCUAGGAAUCUGCCUGGUAGUGGGGGACAACGUUUCGAAAGGAACGCUAAUACCGCAUACGUCCUACGGGAGAAAGCAGGGGACCUUCGGGCCUUGCGCUAUCAGAUGAGCCUAGGUCGGAUUAGCUAGUAGGUGAGGUAAUGGCUCACCUAGGCGACGAUCCGUAACUGGUCUGAGAGGAUGACCAGUCACACUGGAACUGAGACACGGUCCAGACUCCUACGGGAGGCAGCAGUGGGGAAUAUUGGACAAUGGGCGAAAGCCUGAUCCAGCCAUGCCGCGUGUGUGAAGAAGGUCUUCGGAUUGUAAAGCACUUUAAGUUGGGAGGAAGGGCAGUAAGUUAAUACUCUGCAAUUUUGACGUUACCGACAGAAUAAGCACCGGCUAACUCUGUGCCAGCCGCCGCCGUAAUAC
rnacentral:rRNA from 1 species